rnacentral:rRNA from 1 species
ACAAAAAUUUACACAAUCACAGAGAAACUCGCUAUAACCAUACUUACGCCAAGCUCAAAAUCAAACCUGACCAAGGGGUAAGUCGUGCGGAUUCCCAAAGGGCCCUUUCCGCCGGCCUUCCUUUAAAUUCGGUUUGCGGGUUUUUCAAACACGCUCAAUUUCCCUCCGCCCCCCGAAAAUCCUUGGUAACGGCCGCUUUCCCGCGGGGGUUCAGGGGAAACUACCCGGGUUUGAACCGGGAGUUUACCCCGGUUUCCGGCCCGCGGGGGGGGAGCCGUUUUCCCAAGGGCACCUCCCCCCGGGGGGGCCCCCGGCGGUAACGGGUCUUAAAUUAACACCGAGAGCUGGGCUAACAACCCGGGUUAAAUACCCUGGGAGGCCCCCCAAAAAGCGGGGCGGUUAGGGGGGAGGGUUACCCACGAAUCUCCGGGGUCCCGCAGCAAACCCUUUAACCCCACAAAAAUUACCACCCCUCCCACCCCGGAAUUUACAGCGAUGUGGGGGGCCAAACUGGCAAGUCUUUUCUCCAGAGGCUUUUUACACCCUGGGAAGGCCCACUUUUACGCUCACCUAUUUUCCUUAAAACUGUUUCCGCAAUUGAAAAUUUCCCCCCCUGCGCCCCCAGUCCCAAAUAUCCCAGGUUUACUUGCUUGCGGCAAGAGGAUGUAUACCAUUUCAAAGCCGUUUUUUAAAAA